UGAGGAAUAUUGGUCAAUGGGCGAGAGCCUGAACCAGCCACGUCGCGUGAAGGAAGACUGACCUUACGGUUUGUAAACUUCUUUUGUAGAGGGGUAAUGGCAGAUACGUGUAUUUGCGUGAAAGUACUCUACGAAUAAGCAUCGGCUAACUCCGUGCCAGCAGCCGCGGUAAUACGGGGGAUGCGAGCGUUAUCCGGAAUUAUUGGGUUUAAAGGGUGCGCAGGUGGCUAAUCAGGUCAGUGGUGAAAAGCUAUGGCUCAACCAUGGACUUGCCAUUGAAACCGUAUAGCUAGAGAGGAGACGAGGUAGGCGGAAUGUGUGGUGUAGCGGUGAAAUGCAUAGAUAUCAUGAAGAACUCCGAUUGCGAAGGCAGCUUACGGGAGCGCAACUGACGCUGAAGCUCGAAGGUGCGGGUAUCGAACAGG
rnacentral:rRNA from 1 species